UUGAAUGUGUGUGCAUUCAUAAUUCAGUGUGUGUUCUGUGUGUUCAAUGUUCUGUGUGUUCAGUGUUUAAUGUAUUCAGUGUUCAGUGUGUUCCGUGUUCAAUGAGUUCAGUGUGUUCAGUGUGUUCAGCGUUCAACGUGUUCAGUGUUCAAUGUGUUCAAUGAGUUCAGUGUGUUCAGUGUUCAAUGAGGUCAGUGUGUUCCGUGUGUUCCGUGUUCAAUGUGUUCCGUGUGUUCCGUGUUCAAUGUGUUCAGUGUGUUCCGUGUUCAAUGAGUUCAGUGUGUUCAGUGUUCAAUGUGUUCAGUGUUCAAUGUUCCGUGUGUUCAGUGUUCAGUGUGUUCAGUGUGUUCAGUGUUCAGUGUGUUCCAUGUGUUCAAUGUUCCGUGUGUUCCGUGUUCAAUGUGUUCCGUGUUCAAUGUGUUCCGUGUGUUCAGUGUUCAAUGUGUUCAGUGUUCCGUGUGUUCAGUGUUCAAUGUGUUCAGUGUGUUCCGUGUUCAGUGUGUUCCGUGUGUUCCGUGUUCAAUGUGUUCCGUGUGUUCCGUGUUCAAUGUGUUCCGUGUGUUCAGUGUUCAAUGUGUUCAGUGUUCCGUGUGUUCAGUGUUCAAUGUGUUCAGUGUGUUCCGUGUUCAGUAUGUUUAGUGUGUUCAGUGUUCAAUGUGUUCAGUGUGUUCCAGUAUGUUUAGUGUGUUCAGUGUGUUCAGUGUUCAAUGUGUUCAAUGUGUGUUCAGUGUUCAGUGUUCAAUGUGUUCCGUGUUCAGUGUUCAGUGUGUUCAGUGUGUUCCGUGUUCAGUGUGUUCCGUGUGUUCAGUGUGUUCCAGUAUGUUUAGUGUGUUCAGUGUGUUCAGUGUUCAAUGUGUUCCGUGUUCAGUGUGUUCAGUGUUCAGUGUUCAGUGUGUUCAGUGUUCAAUGUGUUCCGUGUUCAGUGCUCUGUGUGUUCAAUGUGUUCAGUGUGUUCAGUGUUCAGUGUGUUCCAGUGUGUUCAGUGUGUUCAAUGUGUUCAGUGUGUUCCAUGUGUUCAGUGUUCCGUGUGUUCAGUGUUCAGUGUUCAGUGUGUUCAAUGUGUUCAAUGUGUUCAAUGUGUUCAGUGUUCAGUGUGUUCAGUGUGUUCAGUGUGUUCAAUGUGUUCAAUGUGUUCAGUGUUCAGUGUGUUCAGUGUUCAGUGUUCAGUGUGUUCAAUGUGUUCAGUGUGUUCAAUGUGUUCAAUGUGUUCAAUGUUCAGUGUGUUCAAUGUGUUCAGUGUGUUCAGUGUUCAGUGUUCAGUGUGUUCAGUGUGUUCAGUGUUCAGUGUUCAGUGUUCAGUGUGUUCAGUGUGUUCAGUGUGUUCAGUGUUCAGUGUGUUCAAUGUGUUCAGUGUGUUCAGUGUGUUCAGUGUGUUCAGUGUUCAGUGUGUUCAGUGUUCAGUGUUCAGUGUGUUCAGUGUGUUCAGUGUGUUCAGUGUUCAGUGUGUUCAGUGUGUUCAGUGUGUUCAGUGUUCAGUGUGUUCAGUGUUCAGUGUUCAGUGUGUUCAGUGUGUUCAGUGUUCAGUGUGUUCAGUGUGGACACACCACAG
ensembl:lncRNA